rnacentral:misc_RNA from 1 species
AAAAGAUGCAAGGAGAAAAAACAGAAUUGACAGACAAUUCUUACUUGAUGCUCAUGUCCCUAUGCUUGUGUAUGGUUUCAGAUGUAUCAACAAAUCAUUGUUGUAAGGAUUUGCAUCUGAGAUUUUUCAAGUGUGAUAAAUGUCACACUUCUAUACAAACCAUAUAUGUCUACAGAAUACAAAGGACUCUGGAUUGUUAUGGUUGAUGAUGCUUGAAGAGCUUGUAUUUCUUCAGACCAAUCUGGUUGGUUGGGGUGAAUGCUUGCUUCUUUUUGAGAAAUUUUCAAGUCCAGUGAAGCACUUUUACAUGUACCAUAUUGUCCAUAGAUCGCAGGUGUAAUGUGUGGAUAAGAACCCUUGAACAGCUUUUUCUUCAAACCAAGCAGGUAAUACUUCCUUACUUCUUCUUUUAUUCACUUUCCUAUGAACAGGAAGAUUUACAAACUGCACUAAGAAAUUUCAUCUUAAACAAGGUUUGGCAUCAGGAUAAUGCUUCAAAGGUUGUAAUUUGAACCUUAAAUCCGAUUCAUCAAUUGUGUGACAUCCCAAUGGAUGACAGUGCUUCAGAAUUGGCAAGUAACUAGUGAUCAAUGCCAGAGCAGAAUUAUUUUGGAAAUUUUUCUUAAUGUUGGCAGGAAAUAAGUUUGUCUACAAAGAAAAUUAUAUUACAAAUAAGGAUAUCUACAAAGCAAAUUAAUUAAUCCUAUAGAAUAUUUGAGGGAACCAACAUAAUGUUAAAAGAGUUUUUUGCAUUGGUUUGCCUUAAUUUCAGACAUUCAGUCCAGUGGUUCUUCUGUCCUGUUUCAAAGAGCCAGAGAAGAGUAAUUGAGGAUGGCCUCUUUGUCUUAUGUUACCAAUCCUUGUAAGUUGAUCAUCUAUGCAUGCCUUUGAAGUUUGAACAAGCAUGACCCUGCAUUUAUCCAAUUACUAGUUGGUAACUG